rnacentral:rRNA from 1 species
UACGGGGGGAGCAAGCGUUGUUCGGAUUUACUGGGCGUAAAGGGCGCGUAGGCGGUCAGCACAAGUCAGUUGUGAAAUCUCCGAGCUUAACUCGGAAAGGUCAACUGAUACUGUGCGACUAGAGUGCAGGAGGGGCAACUGGAAUUCUCGGUGUAGCGGUGAAAUGCGUAGAUAUCGAGAGGAACACCUGCGGCGAAGGCGGGUUGCUGGGCUGACACUGACGCUGAGGCGCGAAAGCUAGGGGAGCGAACGGG